ACUGGAAAUGAAGUUAUUACAAACCAGAAAUUGAAUGCAGUGUUCUGGGUUUUAAAAACAAAUUUCUUUAUUUAUGUUCUGUAAAUGGACAGUUACAGUCUUUUUCUAAGACAGUAAUGAAUUCUUCCUCAUGAGCAUGUCAGCAAACAGAAUAAGCUGAAAACCUCCAGUGACUGCUGUCCAAAUGAAGAGGAAGGAAAGGUUGACAUUUAAUCAUUUCAUAAUGCAAAAUAUAUUUUUUCAUCCUUAAAGACUACCUCUUCAAUAAGGAAUGAAGUAUAGCAAUGCUGUACUCGAUGUACUCCAGGAUACAAUUGAACCUUUUGGCUAUCAAUAUCAUAUCGUAGAAAUAACAUGAAGAGGUUGUCUAUUCCAAGUGCAGUUCUAUUAGGAAAUUGCCUUCACACCAGGAUUUGCAUGUGCGACAGGAUUCAGGAUCGUUAUUUAAUAAUGAACUUUUUUUUUUUCUUUUCCAUUGGAAAUACAGAACAAAUGCCACUUAGCUAUAGUUACAAGAGUUUUUCUAUUGUUUGCUAAUGAUGAUGCUAGUAAUAUCAAGUACUGUGUGCAGUUUUGUGUGUCACAAUAUAGUACAUAAAACUAUUAGAGAACAUCCAAAGAAGAGAGCAUAUUAGAGAGCAUACGAAGAUAGUGAAGGGUCUAGAGGGCAAGACAUAUGCGCAGUAGCUGAGUUCACUUGGUUUGUUCAACUUUGAGAACAGGAGACAGAAGACCUUGUUGCACUCUACAGCUUAGUCACAAGGGGGAGCAGAAGGAGAGGCGCUGAUCUCUUCUGUCUGGUGAUCGGCAAUAGGACCACGGGGAACAACACGAAGCUGUGUCAAGGGAGGUUCACGCUGGCUAAGAGGAAAAGGUUCUUCACUGAGAGGGUGGCCAGGCACUGGAACAGGCUCCCCAGGGCAGUGAUCACAGCACCAAUCCUGACGGAGUUCAAGAAAUGUUUGGGCAAUGCUCUCAGACAUAUGUUCUGAUGUUUAGGGAGUCCUGUGUGGAGUCAGGAGUUGGACUCAAUGAUCCUUGUGAGUUCCUUCCUACUCAGGAUAUUUUUUUAUUCUAUGAUUCUGCUUUCUUGGAGUCUAAUAUGUUAUUUAAAAAAUAAUAUAUAAGAUUUAUUUAAUUAAUAACUCUGUCUUCAUUUUCAGAAAAAUCAUAUAAUACUGCUUUCAUAAGUAUCAAAUACAUUAGGAACAAGAGUCAAUGCAAAACUACUGGACUUCAAGUUGUAUUUGCAUGCAUAUCAGAUUGGCCACGGCAUUGUAGUCUACAACUAAUCUGGACAAAUUCAAUCUCAGGGGCUGAACAUAUUUCUUUUAACAUAUAUAUCUGAAUUAAUUUCACAGAAUCACAUAAU
rnacentral:lncRNA from 1 species